CCUACGGGAGGCAGCAGUGGGGAAUCUUGCACAAUGGGCGAAAGCCUGAUGCAGCCNUGCCGCGUGAAUGAUGAAGGCCUUAGGGUUGUAAAAUUCUUUCGCCAGGGAUGAUAAUGACAGUACCUGGUAAAGAAGCCCCGGCUAACUUCGUGCCAGCAGCCGCGGUAAUACGAAGGGGGCUAGCGUUGUUCGGAAUUACUGGGCGUAAAGCGCACGUAGGCGGAUUCUUAAGUCAGGUGUGAAAUCCCGGGGCUCAACCUCGGAACUGCAUUUGAAACUGGGAGUCUUGAGAUCAGGAGAGGUUAGCGGAAUACCGAGUGUAGAGGUGAAAUUCGUAGAUAUUCGGUGGAACACCAGUGGCGAAGGCGGCUAACUGGACUGAUACUGACGCUGAGGUGCGAAAGUGUGGGGAGCAAACAGGAUUAGAUACCCUGGUAGUCCACACCGUAAACGAUGAGAGCUAGUUGUUGGCAGGCAUGCCUGUCGGUGACGCAGUUAACACAUUAAGCUCUCCGCCUGGGGAGUACGGCCGCAAGGUUAAAACUCAAAUGAAUUGACGGGGA
rnacentral:rRNA from 1 species